GGUUGUGGCUCAGUGGUAGAGUACUUGCUUAGCAUGCUUGAGGCACCUGGGUUCAAUCCCCAGCACCA
rnacentral:tRNA from 1 species